CCUAAAUCUAUAAAUGUUUACAAGACUUAUGUUUUGAUCAACAUAACGCGUUUUGAGGAGGAGUAAAUGCAUUUAUUUUUUUUUAAAUUAGCAACUUAUUUCACUUUUUAGUGACACAAGAAUACCAGUCUGGUAUUUUAUUUUGAGGCGUAGCCAAAAGCAAAUUGGACUCUCUUUUUCUGGUGAAAAUCUGAAACGAGUGUAGCAUUAAUGCAGAUGACCCCUGAAUGAAUUUGAUCUCAUUAGUGUUUGAAUCAACUCAGCUGGAAAACAAUAUAAGUAGGACCUGACUGCAAAACAGGUGCUGCAGCUCAAGUGAAAUAGUCUCAAUAAAAAAAUGAUGGCCAAAAGCUAUAGGCAAUUGUAUAACGUUACUGUAAAACAGCAGAAGGAAAAAAUGGAUUUGCUAUACUUCUUAUUGGAAAACCAAACUGAAGUUCAAGGAGGUACAUUGCUGUGGUUCCAUUACGUGUUUACAGAGAGAAGUUUGGUAAAUAUCUGCUUUAUGGAUUCUACUGAACUGUGGAAUUCAGUGCUGUUGACUGUGCCUGGAAUGCAAAGCAGAAAGUAAUGUUAAAAACUUCCCCAUAUGAAAGAGAGGAUGGAGGAACAAAAGAAUGAGAAAGACCUCUUCAAUCUUGGAGUCCAAUUCACUAAAGUCUCAGCAAAGAAAGGUUAUGUAUGUCAUGGGAAUCAGAGAAUCACAGAACCACAGGGGUUGGUAAGUACC
rnacentral:lncRNA from 1 species